rnacentral:antisense_RNA from 1 species
UAGUUCCUCUCCUCUUCCCCACCAGGGUCCUCAGCCACACACCCCGAGCCCUGCCUGCGGGCCCAGCCCCCCCAUUUCCGGAGCCUGCGCCCCGGACCCAGCGGGGGCUGAUCCCUGGGAAAGGCCUGGCUUCCUCUUCCUUCCUGUCCCUGCCCCACCUCCGCCGGGCUCCACAGCCGCCGGGAGCCCAGGGCCGAGACGGGAGGAGGGCACCCACCUGGUCGGUGUCACAUGCUGCUUCGGCCCCAGCGUCCCCUCCAGGUCCCGGCGCCGGCCGCAGUCCCCAGAGCCGUCCCCAGCGCAGGCCCGGCCGCCCCACCCGCGGCCCGCCCCUGGCCGCCCGACGGGAGGGAGGGAUCGGGUUCUCCUAGGAAGUUUCAGGUCAUUCAACAUUUAUUCAACCAAAAAUACUAAGUCAGCUCUAUACAAACUAAUGGAAGGAUACAGCUAUGCAAAUACAGAAGAACACUAAACUGUUACAUGACAGAUGUAUGAG